rnacentral:lncRNA from 1 species
GGAGCCCGAGUCCGCGGGAAGAUGGCGGCGCCGCUCAUCCCCCUCUCCCAGCAGAUUCCCACUGGAAAUUCGUUGUAUGAAUCUUAUUACAAGCAGGUCGAUCCGGCAUACACAGGGAGGGUGGGGGCGAGUGAAGCUGCGCUUUUUCUAAAGAAGUCUGGCCUCUCGGACAUUAUCCUUGGGAAGGUAUGUGAAGAUGAAUAGUGAUUUCUCUUCUGUGGCUGCCCUCACAGCUCCCCCCGCAGGUCAGGGCCAGCCUGUGCAGGCCUCCUUCCAUGGGGCCCGGCCUCCUGGGUAGUGGCCUGGUCGCUGCAGACCUCUCAGGCUGCAGCUGGUGGAUCCAAAUGCCCAGGUGGCAGCCCCCACCACUACUUUGGUAGCAGAUAAGAAACCCGAGUACUUUUGGGGUCUUGAUAGCUUGUGGACUUUUUUUUUUUUUUUUUUUUUUGAGACAGAGUUUCGCUCUUGUUGCCUAGGCUGGAAUGCAGCGGCGCGAUCUCGGCUCACUGCAACCUCCUCCUCCCGGGUUCAAGUGAUUCUCCUGCCUCAGCCUCUUGAAUAGCUGGG